AGCAUAUCAAUAAGCGGAGGAAAAGAAACUAACAAGGAUUCCCCUAGUAACUGCGAGUGAAGCGGGAAAAGCUCAAAUUUAAAAUCUGGCAGUCUUUGGCUGUCCGAGUUGUAGUCUGGAGAAGCGCUUUCCGCGCUGGACCGUGUACAAGUCUCCUGGAACGGAGCGUCAUAGAGGGUGAGAAUCCCGUCUUUGACACGGACUACCAGUGCUUUGUGAUGCGCUCUCAAAGAGUCGAGUUGUUUGGGAAUGCAGCUCAAAAUGGGUGGUAAACUCCAUCUAAAGCUAAAUAUUGGCGAGAGACCGAUAGCGAACAAGUACCGUGAGGGAAAGAUGAAAAGCACUUUGGAAAGAGAGUUAAACAGUACGUGAAAUUGCUGAAAGGGAAACGCUUGAAGUCAGUCGCGUUUGCUAGGACUCAGCCUUGCCUCGGCUUGGUGCAUUUCCUAGUAGACGGGCCAGCAUCACUUUUGGCUGCGGGAAAAAGGUCAGAGGAAUGUGGCACCUCCGGGUGUGUUAUAGCCUCUGGCUGUAUACCGUGGCUGGGAGUGAGGAACUCAGCACGCCUUCAUGGCGGGGCUUCGGCCACCUUCGUGCUUAGGAUGCUGGCGUAAUGGCUUUAAACGACCCGUCUUGAAACACGGACCAAGGAGUCUAACAUGCCUGCGAGUGUUUGGGUGGAAAACCCGAGCGCGUAAUGAAAGUGAAAGUUGGGACCUCUGUCGUGGAGGGCACCGACGCCCGGACCAGACCUUCUGUGACGGAUCCGCGGUAGAGCAUGUAUGUUGGGACCCGAAAGAUGGUGAACUAUGCCUGAAUAGGGUGAAGCCAGAGGAAACUCUGGUGGAGGCUCGUAGCGAUUCUGACGUGCAAAUCGAUCGUCAAAUUUGGGUAUAGGGGCGAAAGACUAAUCGAACCAUCUAGUAGCUGGUUC
rnacentral:rRNA from 1 species